GACGAACGCUGGCGGCGUGCCUAAUACAUGCAAGUUGAGCGCUGAAGGUUGGUACUUGUACCAACUGGAUGAGCAGCGAACAGGUGAGUAACGCGUGGGGAAUCUGCCUUUGAGCGGGGGACAACAUUUGGAAACGAAUGCUAAUACCGCAUAAAAACUUUAAACACAAGUUUUAAGUUUGAAAGAUGCAAUUGCAUCACUCAAAGAUGAUCCCGCGUUGUAUUAGCUAGUUGGUGAGGUAAAGGCUCACCAAGGCGAUGAUACAUAGCCGACCUGAGAGGGUGAUCGGCCACAUUGGGACUGAGACACGGCCCAAACUCCUACGGGAGGCAGCAGUAGGGAAUCUUCGGCAAUGGACGAAAGUCUGACCGAGCAACGCCGCGUGAGUGAAGAAGGUUUUCGGAUCGUAAAACUCUGUUGGUAGAGAAGAACGUUGGUGAGAGUGGAAAGCUCAUCAAGUGA
rnacentral:rRNA from 1 species